CAGGAUCCUGAGACGUGAGACGUUCAGUCUCAGACCCAGGGAGGCAGGAUGCCAUCAUCGAGCUGAAUAUCACUCAUGAUUUCGUUGAGUCACCCGGCCCGGAAUAGAACGGAGGCCUGCGGCGGAGCUGAGGAGGAAAAUGAUGCACAUCAAAUAAUCAGAUGUUAGGAGAUGCCCCUCACAAAUGUGAGCACACACAGCAUCUGAGAGAAGCGUGCUGCCGUUCGUGUUGGAUUGGAAAUUCGUAGUCACUGACACUUCUUUCAAGCCCUGCAGUCAGGAGCUUCUGAUCAUUUGGAUCCACUGUACAAGGGAGGCUCUCGAGGUUCUUUGCCGCAAUGGAAAUAGUUCUGGCUCUGUAAGAAAAAUGAAGAGCAAACCCCGCUCUCCAGGCCAUGACUCCUGGGAAGCACAACCUAUGUUAGAGUCCAUUUUUCAAAGCAAAAGACCUGUGAAGCAUUCAAAUUGGAACAGGAACCCAGGUAGCAAUCACAGCAGAGCCCCUGCUGCUCCACUUUCCACAAAGCUGGAAACACAUGCUUCAAACACAGUAAGGACCAGUCAGGCGUGAAGCCACCUGCAGGAAUCCGAAACACGUGAGCCGCGAUCUGAUUUCCCGCUCGCAGAACCGUCCCUCUGGGAUGUCUCCAUUCCGGGAUGUGCACGAAUUGGACCCAAGAUUGAGAGAUGAAGGCAUGUUUUAAGAGAAAGCAAAAUGAGAAAGUAAAAGGAAUUUUUCUGCCACAAAUAUUUUAGAUGUGACAC